rnacentral:tRNA from 1 species
AUUUAUUUAAUAUAAGAAGUAUAUUUGAUUUCCAAUCAAAAAGUCUAAACAUUUAGAAUAAAUA